rnacentral:lncRNA from 12 species
AUGUGAAGUUCAGUGACACAGUUCCAUAACACACGCUUGAAAGCUGUGUUCCUUUCCUUCUCAAGUGACCAUCUGAGAACAAAAAUUAUCCUUCUGAAGCUAAACGUAGUCCACAUUCGGCAUGCACAGUAAAUGCAGUACACAUUUGGCAUGCAUAAUGCUAUUGAGGCUUAAUGGGUCUGAACAAAAGAAAAAGAACUUUGGUGGGGAAAGAUGUCUUUCAGAAUCCUACUUUGAACCAGAAGAAUCUAUUCUCUUGAGACUGUUGAAGAGAAGAUUGAUGGUUGGAAUUCUUGAGAGGAAGUAUAUGAAGAUGAAUAAAGAGACAAUUACGUCUUGGAUUAAUUAAGGUAACUCUUCAAAUAUCAGUGACUUA